UGCCAGCAGCCGCGGUAAUACGUAGGGGGCAAGCGUUAUCCGGAUUUACUGGGUGUAAAGGGAGUGUAGACGGUAUAGUAAGUCAGAUGUGAAAGCCCAGGGCUCAACCCUGGGACUGCAUUUGAAACUAUUGUACUAGAGUGCAGGAGAGGUAAGUGGAAUUCCUAGUGUAGCGGUGAAAUGCGUAGAUAUUAGGAGGAACACCAGUGGCGAAGGCGGCUUACUGGACUGUAACUGACGUUGAGGCUCGAAAGCGUGGGGAGCAAACAGGAUUAGAUA
rnacentral:rRNA from 1 species